GUUGGCAUGCAGCAGCAGUGUACCUGAGACCAGGGCAUGGAGAGAGGGAAAGGCCCUGCAUGCUCCCCUGCUGGGCAGCUCCAGCCCACUGGAUGACAGUGAGUCCUGAGUGCAGCAAGGCUGGAGUCCUACUGUGAAAGCCCACAAUAGCAGAGCCCCUGUCAGGAAUGGAGCAAGGAGAUCACAGAUCACAGAGCACAUUGCACCUGCCCCAUGCAGUGGCAGAGCAAGAUGCUCAAGGGCCUGGCAUUAAGAGGGACCAUUCGAGGUAAAAGGGUAGGAGUCUCCCUUCUUUUUGUUUUUUGUUUUCCCACACAGUCCCAGAGGGUGCUGUGGUGUUCUGAUACACUUCUUGUGUCAGAACUGUUUUUCAUUAUGUCCAAGACAGAGCAGGCGUGAGAGCUGAGCAUCCUCCCCUUGCUGCGCUCCGCUGGUCCCCAAGGCACCCUCCCCAUGCGCCGCUUCCUUCCACUUACCGCCCGCGCAGGGCGCCACACCCUGAGCUCUGCUUGUUCCCUCUUCAGACUGGCGGGUGGUUAUAGAGGUGUUUGGGGUGUCAGCUCUGAAAUGCUAAAAAUAAUACCAGGCUUUCCAUCCUGGGAUGUCUCAUUAGUGCGCUUACAAAUGAGUCCCCCUGCAGUUUUUCAGCAAUUGGCUAACAAGCUCUAAUUUGAGCGUUUGGGCUGGACCUCGGCUCAGCAGGAGCAGACGCGGAGCAGAUGCCUUCUCGGAGCUGCCUGUUUGGGGAAGCUGGUCAGUUUCCACUCUAUCUCAGCCUCCCACAACAAGGAAGCUGCAGGAAGGUUGAAAAAAGCACAGCAAAGCAGGGAUGAGCCUCCUCGGUGGAGAGCAACGCCCAGGUCGUGUGGAGCGGGCCAGCUUUAAUGAACCUGUCUAAAAGGAAGGAAGAGAAAGAGCUCGGCUCCUCAGGGGAACAAGGAGGACCUUGGCGGCGGUCUCACUCCUCACCAGCUCUUCACCUCAGAUCUUGUCCUGACUUCCUGGUCCACUAACAGCCUCCUGGAUAGAAGAGUCAGGCAGAGAACAAAGAUUGGAGGCUUCCUCCUGAGCGCACUGGGAUGUGUCAUUACGUUGGGGCUGCCGAGUGUCCUUACCUACUGCUACCCAGACGCAAAGGCAGGUGGGCAGGGCCAGGGGGUUCGAUGCUUCACCUCCUUAAGUGAGAACUGCAUCAUCCAAACAGUCAGCUCUCAGCCAGAUGGCACCCCGAGGCUCUGUGAAUUUCUCUCAGCACAACAAGCACAUCUGCCAGUUGGGUUCCAGCGCUUGUUUUCUCUUUUCUUUUCGGCACUAGACACCAGGGCUUUAAUUACACAGCCAAACUCAGCCGCAGAACACUCCCCAGUCUCAUCCUGGCUGGGCCCAGGACCUCCCCACCUCUCCAAAAGCCCCAAAAUGGAACGACUUAGGCCGGUCAUCAGGGCCAGCGGGUGCAAAGGUGCUAAGUGGGCUGAGUCGACCCUGUACUCCUCUUGGUUCUCUCUGUAA
rnacentral:lncRNA from 10 species